UACGAAGGGGGCGAGCGUUGUUCGGAUUUACUGGGCGUAAAGGGCGCGCAGGCGGUUCUGUUUGUCGAGUGUGAAAGCCCCGGGCUCAACCUGGGAACUGCGCUCGAAACGGCAGAACUAGAGUUCGGGAGAGGAGAGUGGAAUUCCCAGUGUAGAGGUGAAAUUCGUAGAUAUUAGGAAGAACACCGGUGGCGAAGGCGGCUCUCUGGACCGAUACUGACGCUGAGGCGCGAAAGCGUGGGGAGCAAACAGG
rnacentral:rRNA from 1 species